AUACGUAGGGGGCAAGCGUUGUCCGGAAUGAUUGGGCGUAAAGGGCGCGUAGGCGGCCCGGUAAGUCUGGAGUGAAAGUCCUGCUUUUAAGGUGGGAAUUGCUUUGGAUACUGUCGGGCUUGAGUGCAGGAGAGGUAAGUGGAAUUCCCAGUGUAGCGGUGAAAUGCGUAGAGAUUGGGAGGAACACCAGUGGCGAAGGCGACUUACUGGACUGUAACUGACGCUGAGGCGCGAAAGUGUGGGGAGCAAACAGGAUUAGAUACCCUGGUAGUCCACACUGUAAACGAUGAAUGCUAGGUGUAGGGGGUAUCGACCCCUUCUGUGCCGCAGUCAACACAAUAAGCAUUCCGCCUGGGGAGUACGGCCGCAAGGUUGAAACUCAAAUGAAUUGACGGGG
rnacentral:rRNA from 1 species